UACGUAGGUGACAAGCGUUGUCCGGAUUUACUGGGCGUAAAGAGCGCGCAGGCGGUCGUUCAAGUCGAGUGUGAAAGCCCCCGGCUCAACUGGGGAGGGUCACUCGAUACUGAUCGACUCGAAGGCAGAAGAGGGAAGCGGAAUUCCCGGUGUAGUGGUGAAAUGCGUAGAUAUCGGGAGGAACACCAGUGGCGAAGGCAGCUCGCUGGGACGGUACUGACGCUGAGACGCGAAAGCGUGGGGAGCAAACAGG
rnacentral:rRNA from 1 species